GGCUCCUUCCCGCCCGGCGCGGGGCGGGCGCUUUCCGGGGCAGCUUGAGCCUCGCGCGCUGCCGUCCGGGCGGCCCGCACAGCUCGGCGGCCGCCAUGUCUACCCUGGGGAAGGCCUCGGGCGCGCUCAAAUCGGUGGAUUACGAAGUGUUCGGGCGGGUGCAAGGUGUUUGUUUCAGGAUGUACACAGAAGAGGAAGCUAGGAAGCUAGGAGUGGUUGGCUGGGUUAAAAAUACCAGUCAAGGAACAGUAACAGGCCAAGUUCAAGGCCCAGAAGAUAAAGUAAAUGCAAUCUGUGGACUUGACCCACUGGAUAUUUUAAGAACUGGCUGUUUUGAUUCAUGGAGCAGCUAGCAAGCAGGCAGAAGCAACACAGUCUUCCCCACGCCUCCAGGCUCAGUUCUAUUCUGAGGCACCUCACCUACGCCUAAGCAGGAAAUCCUGGCUGACUAAAGUUGGAAGCCCAAGUUCUCGUAUAGACAGAACAAAUUUUUCUAAUGAAAAGGAGAUUUCCAAGCUUGACUUCUCAGGAUUUAGCACUAGAUACUAAUAGAAGAAAACAUCACUAAGCACAAAACUGAUGUUUCUGCUGCAUUAAAUUUUCCGUGCAUCCAUAAAAUGUCAUGAGCACUUGGAUGCUUUCUGUACUUGAAAUAGAUGAUUGCCAUUCACACGAAGUAAGAAUUCUUAGUUGCUGUAUUAGGUAUUUCACAACAUGAUUGUCAAUGCUUAAUAUCUAAAGUGUCAAUAUCUAACUUACUGCAUAUUGACAUCUAUGUAAGUCGCUAAAAGUAUAAUUGAUUAUUUCUGUACAGUGAUAUUUGUUAUUACAACCAUAUGAAACCUAAUCUUUACACUGUACAGGAUAAAUAAAUAAUCACUGUGUUCUACAGUUCAUAACCUCUCUGGAAAUGCAUAGCUUACAGAACUGGAACUCUUAGAGAGGUAUUUCAACAUUUCUGUAUUAUAGAUCAUGUUACUUGUGAUAAUUUAAAAUAAAUAUGCAUAGCUUCAAACAAAAAUUGUUAACUGCCUGUUGUUUAAAAUACUCUAAGGUGAUGCGGGUACUUUUUGGAACAAGAUGAUGAAAUGCAUUGCCUCUCAACCUCUUUUCCGUGUGUGCCUAAAGUCUAAAUCUCUACUGAUGAAAAAGGAUAUUCCCUUCUUUUUGCUGUAUGAUUUUAUCAAAAUUAACUGAAGAUUUCAGUUACUGUCCUUACUUGAUGAGUAUUUGCUCAUUGAGUGAGUUGAAUUGGGUACAAUAGUGUGCAACGCCAGAAAUCAUACCAAGUACGCAAAUGGUUUUGAUCAAAUUGAAUAAAUACUUGUAAUAAAUACUGGAUAAGUCUAUGCAA